ACGUGAUCUGAGUUCAGACCGGAGUAAUCCAGGUCAGUUUCUAUCUAUACGGAGCUUUUUCUAGUACGAAAGGACCGAAAAAGCAUGGCCAAUACUUUAUGCAAGCCAUAAUUACAAAUUUAUGAUUAAAUCUUAAUAAACACCCAAUCCACCACCCAAGCUCAAAAAAAGAGC
rnacentral:rRNA from 1 species